rnacentral:rRNA from 1 species
UACGUAGGGGGCAAGCGUUGUCCGGAUUUACUGGGCGUAAAGAGCGCGUAGGCGGAGGCUUAAGUGUGGCCUGAAAGCCCCCGGCUCAACCGGGGAAGGUGGCUGCAAACUGGGCUUCUUGAGGGGGAUAGGGGAAAGUGGAAUUCCGGGUGUAGCGGUGAAAUGCGUAGAUAUCUGGAGGAACACCGGUGGCGAAGGCGGCAUCCUGGACCGACACUGACGCUGAGGAGCGAAAGCCAGGGGAGCAAACGGG